rnacentral:SRP_RNA from 1 species
UAAGCAUCAUCAUUCAAUAGUGCAGUGUGAACCUGGUCAGAUCUUGAUCGAAGCAGCCAUAAGCAUUUGUAUUAUGUGGGUGAUGAUGCUUAAUA